rnacentral:rRNA from 1 species
GAUGAACGCUGGCGGCGUGCUUAACACAUGCAAGUCGAACGGGAAACCUUUUAUUGAAGCUUCGGCAGAUUUAGCUGGUUUCUAGUGGCGGACGGGUGAGUAACGCGUGGGUAACCUGCCUUAUACAGGGGGAUAACAACCAGAAAUGGUUGCUAAUACCGCAUAAGCGCACAGGACCGCAUGGUCCGGUGUGAAAAACUCCGGUGGUAUAAGAUGGACCCGCGUUGGAUUAGCUAGUUGGCAGGGUAACGGCCUACCAAGGCGACGAUCCAUAGCCGGCCUGAGAGGGUGAACGGCCACAUUGGGACUGAGACACGGCCCAGACUCCUACGGGAGGCAGCAGUGGGGAAUAUUGCACAAUGGGGGAAACCCUGAUGCAGCGACGCCGCGUGAAGGAAGAAGUAUCUCGGUAUGUAAACUUCUAUCAGCAGGGAAGAUAGUGACGGUACCUGACGAAGAAGCCCCGGCUGACUACGUG